rnacentral:rRNA from 1 species
UACGGAGGAUGCGAGCGUUAUCCGGAUUUAUUGGGUUUAAAGGGUGCGUAGGCGGACGCUUAAGUCAGCGGUAAAAUUGCGGGGCUCAACCUCGUCGAGCCGUUGAAACUGGGCGUCUUGAGUGGGCGAGAAGUACGCGGAAUGCGUGGUGUAGCGGUGAAAUGCAUAGAUAUCACGCAGAACUCCGAUUGCGAAGGCAGCGUACCGGCGCCCAACUGACGCUGAAGCACGAAGGCGUGGGUAUCGAACAGG